UACGUAGGGCGCAAGCGUUGUCCGGAAUUAUUGGGCGUAAAGAGCUCGUAGGCGGCUUGUCGCGUCGGAUGUGAAAGCCCGGGGCUUAACCCCGGGUCUGCAUUCGAUACGGGCAGGCUAGAGUUCGGUAGGGGAGAUCGGAAUUCCUGGUGUAGCGGUGAAAUGCGCAGAUAUCAGGAGGAACACCAGUGGCGAAGGCGAUCACCUGGGGUUGUUCUGACGCUGAGGAGCGAAAGCUAGGGGAGCAAACGGG
rnacentral:rRNA from 1 species